rnacentral:rRNA from 1 species
AUGAACGCUAGCGACAGGCUUAACACAUGCAAGUCGAGGGGCAGCAUAAAAGUAGCAAUACGUUGGUGGCGACCGGCGCACGGGUGAGUAACGCGUAUGCAACCUACCUAUCAGAGGGGAAUAACCCGGCGAAAGUCGGACUAAUACCGCAUAAAACAGGGGCACCGCAUGGUGAUAUUUGUUAAAGAAAUUCGCUGAUAGAUGGGCAUGCGUUCCAUUAGGUAGUUGGUGAGGUAACGGCUCACCAAGCCGACGAUGGAUAGGGGAACUGAGAGGUUGGUCCCCCACACUGGUACUGAGACACGGACCAGACUCCUACGGGAGGCAGCAGUGAGGAAUAUUGGUCAAUGGGCGGGAGCCUGAACCAGCCAAGUCGCGUGAAGGAAGAAGGAUCUAUGGUUCGUAAACUUCUUUUGCAGGGGAAUAAAGUGCAGGACGUGUCCUGUUUUGUAUGUACCCUGAGAAUAAGGAUCGGCUAACUCCGUGCCAGCCGCCGC